GUGAAAGAAACCCUCAAAAAAAUAAAAAAGAUACCGGCGACGGAGGCCAUGGAAGGCGGCCGUGGAUCUGCGCGGCGGUGCGGCGUGCGAGCGGUCGAUUGCGCACCGCGGGUGCCGCGUACGCAUUCCGCAUCCUGUCGUCCCGCUCGCUCGCCGGAGACAGCGCCGCCCGCCGAGUUUUUGUGCAGUGCAGCUACUCUGCUUGAAGUGCAGAGUUGUGCGACCUGCCGACCGGGUGUGCUGGUUUUGGGCGAUUAGUUUGCUCGGGUUGCAAUAUGAUUUGUGACUUCAAGCUGAAAAGGGCAGGUGAUUAAUUAUGCUGACUUCUGCACUUUUGUGAGGACAGAAAAACUCAACAGUCUAAAGAAUCAGCUCAGGGGACUCGAGGCAAGUCUGUCCACAUUUCAUGGAAGGGCUGAAGUCUCUUAUAAACUAUCUCUGCAGCCCAACUAAAGAAAGGAUCAGAAAGUAAGCUCACCGGCCAGUCAAUUUCGAGUGCCACUACAAUGAACGAUCAGCUCAGGAGCUUGGUCUUGGAUCAGACGGCUAGGGGAGAUGAGUUUGCAAGUGUCAUAUCACAUCAGCUUGAAGGAAAUUAGAAGUGCUUCAGUGGGGUUUAAAGACAAUAAGUCCAAAUAUCCCAGUCUUAAGGGUUGUUCUGAACUCCCAGGACGUGAAUUCAACAUGCCUUCAUACAUCUUCUUUUGAUGGCCGCCAUCGAAGCUGUUGAGGCUAAUAUUGACGCGAUGGGGAAAAGCUACCUAGACAAAGCUAUUAUGUGUUUUCUUAGUUUUAAAGUUGUUGCAGAAGAAGGUAAUGAGAGGUUCAGUGACAUGGUCCAUUAAGUUAGCUUCAUACCUUCAUGUGUGGCAUCUCCUCUUUUUUUAAAGGGGGUACCUUUGUCUUUAAUAAAAUUGACAUCAAAGUCCUGACAAUGGCUAUUCGUUUUGCAUAAAGAUCAUUAAAGAUGAGUACAGCUGUCUGUGAGUUGCAGUUUCUUAUCCGAGCAGUCUAAUAUUCAUAUUGUUUGAAAUUGUAGUCACUGAAGUUCUCGCUCUCCUUAAACAGUAAUUCAGUGUAUUCCAUUGCUUAAAGACACUGAAGAAUUGAUGAAGAAUUUGAACUGAACUAACGAUCUCUUCAAGUUUGUCAGAAUCAUGAGAACAAGAUUCCAAGAGGCUACCGUCAAAGGUAUUCCAUAUUUCCUUUGAAAAUUGUAUCAUGUCCAUUUCCUCCAGAAUGCCAGUUAAUGGAGAUUACCACUG